rnacentral:hammerhead_ribozyme from 1 species
AUCCGGCUGACGAGUCCCAAAUAAAACGAAAUGCGAGUCGUGGAU